rnacentral:rRNA from 1 species
UACAACCUAGAUAAAGAUACGAAAUAAAGUUCUAAUAGCUAUAUAAAGGUGGACUUGGUUGUAAUAAUGACUCAAUACCAAAAUGAAAACGAAUCUAAGACAUGCACACAUCGCCCGUCACUCUUGCCUAAAGGCAAGAUAAGUCGUAACAAAGUAGGUGUAACGGAAGUUGCACCUGU